UACAGAGGGGCAAGCGUUGUUCGGAAUUACUGGGCGUAAAGGGCGCGUAGGCGGCCUUCUAAGUCGAACGUGAAAUCCCUGGGCUCAACCCAGGAACUGCGUCCGAUACUGAAAGGCUUGAAUCCGGGAGAGGGAUGCGGAAUUCCAGGUGUAGCGGUGAAAUGCGUAGAUAUCUGGAGGAACACCGGUGGCGAAGGCGGCAUCCUGGACCGGUAUUGACGCUGAGGCGCGAAAGCUAGGGGAGCAAACGGG
rnacentral:rRNA from 1 species